rnacentral:rRNA from 1 species
GUGGGGAAUAUUGGACAAUGGGCGAAAGCCUGAUCCAGCCAUGCCGCGUGUGUGAAGAAGGUCUUCGGAUUGUAAAGCACUUUAAGUUGGGAGGAAGGGCAGUAAGUUAAUACCUUGCUGUUUUGACGUUACCGACAGAAUAAGCACCGGCUAACUUCGUGCCAGCAGCCGCGGUAAUACGAAGGGUGCAAGCGUUAAUCGGAAUUACUGGGCGUAAAGCGCGCGUAGGUGGUUUUGUAAGUUGGAGGUGAAAUCCCCGGGCUCAACCUGGGAACUGCCUCCAAAACUGCAUGACUAGAGUACGGUAGAGGGUGGUGGAAUUUCCUGUGUAGCGGUGAAAUGCGUAGAUAUAGGAAGGAACACCAGUGGCGAAGGCGACUACCUGGACUGAUACUGACACUGAGGUGCGAAAGCGUGGGGAGCAAACAGGAUUAGAAACCCUAGUAGUCC